GACAGAGGGGGCAAGCGUUGCUCGGAAUCACUGGGCGUAAAGGGCGCGUAGGCGGGAUGGCAAGUCAGUCGUGAAAUCUCUCGGCUCAACCGAGAAACGUCGGCUGAUACUGCCGUUCUUGAGGGAUGCAGAGGAGACUGGAAUUCCCGGUGUAGCGGUGAAAUGUGUAGAGAUCGGGAGGAACACCGGUGGCGAAGGCGGGUCUCUGGGCAUUUCCUGGACGCUGAGGCGCGAAAGCGUGGGGAGCAAACGGG
rnacentral:rRNA from 1 species